CACGAGUAAUUUUGGUAAUGUCCUGUGUGUCCGGGGAAGUAAUUCCCCUAUUAUUGACUUUUAGCAAGAAUUUAUAAUUAAAUCAGGGAGGAGAAACGCUGGCAGCCGACACUAUGUCACAUUCUUUUCAAGUGUAAUGCCACAGUUUCAUGGAUGGUCACUUAGGCAUUGAAAUCGUGCAGCUAUGAGGGAGCAAACAGGAGGCUAGCCCGCCUUGAGAAGGUGCACUUUUACAAACAGCUUGUUAUCUGAUGCUGUGGUCUGCAGUUCCCUAAAACAUUUCCAGGGAAGAAACGUUGAAGGAAGCAUUUCUCAUGAGGAAUCAGUCUACAUACAUGGCACGUUUCUUGAAAAAGCUGCUCGGCCUACGUUUGCUUUCCAGAAGAACCGCGAUGAUUUUUCUUUUCCCGCUGUUAUGAUUUUAAUAAUUACAAUAAAAUGUGUGACUGGCCUAAACAGAUGUGUAGGAGAUCGGUGUACAAACGUCCAGGAGGGUCACCACCUGCCCGACCCGUCAUAUCAGUCACUCAGGCCGUGCAAAUAUGUCUUACAGUGAUGAGAACCUGUCCUCUGCUACAGCUCUGAAUUUUGGUUUUGGAAUGGAAAAGAACAGUCGGGUGCCAGUACCUACUUAUAUCCAUGGGGAUCCCUACAGCUCCAAGGCUACAAUUCAUGAGGUCAAAUCAUUAACCUGAGCAUGUACUCUGAGAUGGUGAAGCGCACCCCCCCCCCCACCUCCCAGAAGGGAGAUGUUGAUAAAACCCUAAGCGUUGGUAAAGUUUCAUUUUGCAGGGAGAAGAAAGGGGAAAUGAAAUGUUUCGAAAUUGCUUAUCUCAGUCAUAAAUAUAUGUUUUCUCCAUCGUCCAAAGACUGACCACAAAUAUUACUUGUGUCACCUCCAAUAAAAGACACACAAAACA